rnacentral:rRNA from 1 species
AUUGAACGCUGGCGGCAGGCCUAACACAUGCAAGUCGAGCGGAUGAAGGGAGCUUGCUCCUGGAUUCAGCGGCGGACGGGUGAGUAAUGCCUAGGAAUCUGCCUGGUAGUGGGGGAUAACGUCCGGACACGGGCGCUAAUACCGCAUACGUCCUGAGGGAGAAAGUGGGGGAUCUUCGGACCUCACGCUAUCAGAUGAGCCUAGGUCGGAUUAGCUAGUUGGUGGGGUAAAGGCCUACCAAGGCGACGAUCCGUAACUGGUCUGCGAGGAUGAUCAGUCACACUGGAACUGAGACACGGUCCAGACUCCUACGGGAGGCAGCAGUGGGGAAUAUUGGACAAUGGGCGAAAGCCUGAUCCAGCCAUGCCGCGUGUGUGAAGAAGGUCUUCGGAUUGUAAAGCACUUUAAGUUGGGAGGAAGGGCAGUAAGUUAAUACCUUGCUGUUUUGACGUUACCAACAGAAUAAGCACCGGCUAACUUCGUG